GCCAGUGUAGCUCAAUCGGCAGAGCAACUCAUUCGUAAUGAGUAGGUUUGUGGGUUCAAUUCCCACCGCUGGCU
rnacentral:tRNA from 1 species